GGAAGUUUCACAAAAUUUUAAUUGAAAUCUACAGAAAUUCAAUUGUUAUUAUUCAUUAUAUAUUAAUAAUGUAUUGAAAUUGUGUACUAUAUAUUUUGCUUUUGACGAAAGAGGCGACAUUAUAUUUGCCAAAGGGCGGAACUUUUCUCACGACGGGCCUGAUUAUAAUAACAAUAAUAAUAAUAUCAAUACAUUAAUAUUAUAAUAAAAAAAUACGCGUCAACCGUUCAAGUAAACCGCAAUAUUUCAAUAGUGUUAAUAUCGAACCGUCAAAAUACGGAAAUGGAACAGUUCCAAAAUGUUUAGUCGCCGUGUACGCACAAUGUGCACUUUGUGAACGUAUGAAAUAAUGUAUCGUCGAAAAGCGUAAAACUGCGGAGGCGAAUUCCCGUCGGGCACUGCAGAGGAUUUGUUGUAAUUGGUUCCGGUUUAUAUAUUGUAUAAAUCUGACAUAUUACAAAAUAAAAAAAAAUAAAAAAAUAAUAUAGGUAAUGUUAUACAACGAGUAGGUAAUGUUGGUAUUAUACAUAGAAAAAAAAAAAAAAAAAAAAAACGGUUGAAUUAUUCGUUUUAUCCGGAUACGGUCACGACCCGCGUCCCAAUCGCGACUUUCGUAAUGAGCUGUUAGACCCGAGAAAUAUUAUAUCCGUAUUUGCAACCGUUUAAAACCCAAUAAAUAUGCGACCUCUAAGGUCACCUAAUUUCAAUAACCGUGACAAUAAUUUUACAAGAUGAUAUUAUAUAAUAAUAUUUACGCACGUGCAAUAUUAUCGUGAAGG